GAGCAGCCUGCUUUCACUCUCAGAGAUAUAGAAUGAACUCAGACAAGGUACCAGUUCUACCCGCGCCACGGUCACUUGAGGAUCUUAUCACCACCACACACACAAGAUUACUGGUAACACUGAGGUACUUUUGUCUUUGGUGGCUCCUCUGCUGUCAUAAUAGUCUAGGCCUGUUUCAUUCCUCUCUUUGAAAUCAAUCACGUGGCUGGAGCUUGUGAAUUACAGCCCACAUUCCUGAUAGAGGAACU
rnacentral:lncRNA from 1 species